CAUUUUGUGGCUGGACACCUCCUUUUAGGGAGACCUACUUACUAGAUGAAGGACUCACGACAUUUUCCUUCCUAGCUAAGUCAUCCCAAGGUCGGUCAAGGCUUCUUUAGCACUCUCUCAAACUAUUAUUGGCUCGGUUUUUGACCAUGGAGUUAGAACUCAGCACUGCUUCAAGUAAGCAACUGCUGGACUUCUUGUCCAGACCAGAACCUUGAAAACUGCAUAGGAGAAAAGAAGUAGGAAAGUCCGAAAAGCAGAAGAUUUCUAUUUGUGAGAGGUCAAGCUAGAAAGGGCUAACGGUGGAUACCUAGGCCACACAGAAAGAGUUCAAGAGUAAGCUAUGUCAAAGCAAAUUCAACAAAGCACCCCUCAUCUACAAGGAAACAAAGAGCCAGAGUAGAAAAACAGAGUGCUGGAUUGAACCCCCACAAAGAACCUUGAAAAAAGCAUACACAC
rnacentral:misc_RNA from 1 species